CCUACGGGUGGCAGCAGUGGGGGAUAUUGCACAAUGGGGGAAACCCUGAUGCAGCGACGCCGCGUGUGGGAAGACGGUCUUCUGGAUUGUAAACCACUGUCCCCAGGGACGAAAAUGACGGUACCUGGGGAGGAAGCUCCGGCUAACUACGUGCCAGCAGCCGCGGUAAUACGUAGGGAGCAAGCGUUGUCCGGAAUUACUGGGUGUAAAGGGUGCGCAGGCGGCCUGUUAAGUCAGCGGUAAAAGCCCGGGGCUCAACCCCGGCGAGCCGUUGAAACUGGCGGGCUGGAGUUGGAGAGAAGUACGCGGAAUGCGCGGUGUAGCGGUGAAAUGCUUAGAUAUCGCGCAGAACCCCGAUUGCGAAGGCAGCGUACCGGCUCCACACUGACGCUGAGGCACGAAAGCGUGGGUAUCGAACAGGAUUAGAUACCCUGGUAGUC
rnacentral:rRNA from 1 species